ACUGAAUACAGACUGCAGUAACAUUUGGCAAAUAAAGAAGAAAGAAGAAGACGAAGAAAAAGACAAAUAAGAAGACGACAAAGAAGACAAAGUUGUUGGUUAGGUACGGGUCGUAAUCUCGAUCACGACAGUCAGAAGAGCAACUGCGUAAUCCCCACAGACAGAAUCCGAGCUGGAUCAUGAGAUUUGAUACAUGAAUGUGGUCAGUGUGACUUCCAUCCAGUAGACAGACAAAGCAACAUAUUCUUUGGGAGAAGAUUAGCCUCUUACCUCUUU